rnacentral:rRNA from 1 species
UGGGGAAUAUUGCACAAUGGGCGCAAGCCUGAUGCAGCCAUGCCGCGUGUGUGAAGAAGGCCUUCGGGUUGUAAAGCACUUUCAGCGAGGAGGAAGGUGGUGAGCUUAAUACGCUCAUCAAUUGACGUUACUCGCAGAAGAAGCACCGGCUAACUCCGUGCCAGCAGCCGCGGUAAUACGGAGGGUGCAAGCGUUAAUCGGAAUUACUGGGCGUAAAGCGCACGCAGGCGGUUUGUUAAGUCAGAUGUGAAAUCCCCGGGCUCAACCUGGGAACUGCAUUUGAAACUGGCAAGCUAGAGUCUCGUAGAGGGGGGUAGAAUUCCAGGUGUAGCGGUGAAAUGCGUAGAGAUCUGGAGGAAUACCGGUGGCGAAGGCGGCCCCCUGGACGAAGACUGACGCUCAGGUGCGAAAGCGUGGAGAGCAAACAGGAUUAGAUACCCUGGUAGUCCACGCUGUAAAACGAUGUCGAUUUUGGAGGUUGUGCCCUUGAGGCGUGGCUUCCGGAGCUAACGCGUUAAAUCGACCGCCUGGGGAGUACGGCCGCAAGGUUAAAACUCAAAUGAAUUGACGGGGUC